rnacentral:tRNA from 1 species
GUAAAUAUAGUUUAACAAAAACAUUAGAUUGUGAAUCUAAAAAUAGAAGAUUGCUACUUCUUAUUUACC